rnacentral:rRNA from 1 species
GAUGAACGCUGGCGGCGUGCCUAAUACAUGCAAGUCGAGCGAACAGAUAAGGAGCUUGCUCCUUUGACGUUAGCGGCGGACGGGUGAGUAACACGUGGGUAACCUACCUAUAAGACUGGAAUAACUCCGGGAAACCGGGGCUAAUGCCGGAUAACAUUUAGAACCGCAUGGUUCUAAAGUGAAAGAUGGUUUUGCUAUCACUUAUAGAUGGACCCGCGCCGUAUUAGCUAGUUGGUAAGGUAACGGCUUACCAAGGCAACGAUACGUAGCCGACCUGAGAGGGUGAUCGGCCACACUGGAACUGAGACACGGUCCAGACUCCUACGGGAGGCAGCAGUAGGGAAUCUUACGCAAUGGGCGAAAGCCUGACGGAGCAACGCCGCGUGAGUGAUGAAGGUCUUCGGAUCGUAAAACUCUGUUAUUAGGGAAGAACAAAUGUGUAAGUAACUGUGCACGUCUUGACAGUACCUAAUCAGAAAGCCACGGCUAACUACGUG